ACUCCAGUUGGAGAAGACUCAGAUGCAGUAUGUCGUGCACAAGCCGAGGCAGGAGACCAAGAGAGAUCUAGGGGAAUGGAUCUUGCUGCAGCACUACUUGGGAGAAUUGACAGAGAUCUGUGAGGACCAGGAACAAGUCAUCCGAGACCUCAAGAGCCAGGAGCAGCAGACAGGCUCUCCCUGUGACUCCGGCAGGUGACCAUGCAACUUUGGACCAACGGCCCUCUUUCCAUCGACGCUGAAUUUUACAUCCAACAGCAUCUGCGAUUUGGUCUGAGAGGCGUCAGAGAGUCCCAUACAGCCAGGACUGCGAUGGAGCAACCAGCUACCCCAGGACGUGGCAGCACCACGGCUUUCUCAGGUUCCCCAAAGAUGGUCAACACCUUCCAGGUCAGCAGAAAGCAGUCUUGAGAACGACGCCCUUAUUCCCUAACCUGCACGGCUAACACCUCGUCUUUUUUAAUAAGUAAAGGUGCUGGCCUGCCUGUCACCUGGCAGAAUGUACUCAGGCAGCACUCUGGUCAGCUCAGGGUUUCAUGAGCACUAGUCUGCAAGCAGCACCAUGCUGACUCCACCCCCCCCACAACAGGUGUGGCCACGUUAUCACUGCGACACUCUUUGUGGGGCUGCGUAAAGGCUCAGUACGCAUGUGCAAGCUUCCCCUUUUAAGUGAGCGUCUCCCCGUGGCCCCUUUUUCACUCUCCCCCUCUCGUCUCUCUCCUG